rnacentral:rRNA from 1 species
UACGUAGGGAGCAAGCGUUGUCCGGAAUCAUUGGGCGUAAAGCGCGCGUAGGUGGCCUCGUAAGUCCGCUGUAAAAGUCAAAGGCUCAACCUUUGAAAGCCGGUGGAUACUGCGGGGCUAGAGUACGGAAGAGGCGAGUGGAAUUCCUGGUGUAGCGGUGGAAUGCGCAGAUAUCAGGAAGAACACCCGUGGCGAAGGCGGCUCUCUGGGACGGUACUGACGCUGAGACGCGAAAGCGUGGGGAGCGAACAGG